AAUGUUUGUUGAGUGAAAAAUUUGUAGGUGUAGCAACGUUCUGCAGGGUGAAGUCACUAUCUUAAUUAGAUGAAGCAAUGUUGCCUAAGGCCGUUGACGUUCGUUCUUAAUUUCUUAUUCAAUGCUCCAUGAAACAAGAUGGUCACUUGUAGGUUGGUUAAUCUCGCCUUGUCAAGCCGGAAGAAGAGAGAGCGGUGACAAGGUGAAGCCGGAAGUGGAGACAACGGUGAAGCUACGGCUGAGGCGGUGAAGCCGAGGAGUACAGACGGAAGUUGGGCUAGUAUCAUUUUCUGGUUUUGAUUGUUUGGUCUCUGAAGUUAUAUCAUUCAUAAGAGUGAUUAGGAAGUGUUUUUGGAUUAUGAAAAGACCAAUUUUUUUAAGAAUCUUUGAUUAAGAAACUUUCAUUGGAGGACAAAA